rnacentral:lncRNA from 1 species
CCCCAGCCCCAACACACACGUUCUGGGGUAACCUCUUUGGAAGAAUUGGGUCUCUAGGUUUGUAAGGCUGCCUCUCCACUCCUGAGAACCAGGGGGCAGACAGCAGCAGUUCUUACUUUGUGAUAAUUUGAUGCAACCCGUAAAGAAGGCUUGAACAUACCCAGUUAUUUAAUUGAUUCAAUUUCUUCACUCCAGAGUCAUUCUCGGGUGGAAAUGUUCUCAGCAGGAAGGGGGUCCCUGAAAGAUCCUCUAUUGUCUCAAGAGGUAUGGACUGAGAGCUGUGGAAAGGUCAUGAAUAUGCGGUAUUUAUUGCAUAUCAUCGUGUAUGAAUAUACAGUAUCUAUUACUGGAGAAAAGAGCUAGGAUCACUUUAUGCCUGAUCUCAAUAUUGUUUAUAAAAGAGUGAUUAGAAGUUGCCAGAUUGUCAGGGACCUGCCUUCCUGCCUUUCUUUUUUCUCUUACUUCUUUGUUUGUUUCUCUCUUCUCAGAAAUAGGAUUAGUGUUUGUGUCUUCUGACCUUUGCUUCAGAUCUCAAAGUGUUGCAUUUUCUUUGGAUGACUUUGGGAUUUUUGGCAGCCUCUAUAACCUAAUUAACUGUUCUAGACAGGCCGAAGUUUAGCAUCUGCCAGUGUCACUGCAGACCAAGGCUGCAGAGGAGAGAGAAUUUCACAUUGUCUGUGGGCCACGCUGUAAAAGGCUCUUUGCACAGCCAGCUUUGCCUCAGCUAGAGAGGCUGCUGUCUUUGGAGUAUUCUACCUAAGAAGGAUACCAAUUACUCACCUCCCUCAAAACACACACACAUACACACACACACACACACACACACACACACACACGCAUGUACAUGCAAAAACAAUCUUCUUCCACAUUCUUCAGCUUGCAAGCAUCUGACAUCCUAACACCAGAUAUUGAUUUCUUAGCACACAAAUACCAAUAAAGGAGGUGUCACCUAUGGUGAUAACACUUUAUUAUAAAUUAUUUAGAUUUAUUUCUUAACCUGAGGAACCAGAAAGAAAGAAUUAGAGAGAGAGAGACAAAUGAGAGGGAGAGGGCAUGAUUGUGGAAGGCUGACCCUGAUUUUCAAGACAACUUUGUUUUUUUUAUAUCCGAUUAAAAUAUUUUCUAAACGUUUUCUUCUUGUCCAUAAAUACUGGG